rnacentral:tRNA from 1 species
AGGACGUUAGCUCAGUUGGUUAGAGCAUCUGACUUUUAAUCAGAGGGUCCUGGGUUCGAGUCCCAGACGUCCUA